rnacentral:rRNA from 1 species
ACGAAAGUCUGAUGGAGCAAUACCAUGUGAACGAUGAAGGSCUUUUUGGUUGUAAAGUUCUUUUACGAGGGAUAAUUAUGAUAGUACUUCGUGAAUAAGUGACAGCAAACUAUGUGCCAGCAGCUGCGGUAAURCAUAGGUCGCGAGCAUUAUCCGGAUUUAUUGGGCGU